CUCUGGAAUAGAAGGGGCCACCCAGCAAUGGGCAGAGGCUACAGGAAACCAAAAGACGACGGCUCUGCCCUGAUGUGUUAGCAUUAGCUGCCUGUGGAUUUCUGAGCCGCGCUGAAACGGGGACUCAGAGCGGCCAACCUAAGUUGGUCAAGCAGAGAUGGCAGUGUGAAGCAAAGGAGGAAGACAAAAAUAAGAUCAAGUGAAGUGUAUGAUACAAGAUCUUCGUGUGCACAUAAACAGUAUCAGGUGAAAAAAUGUCUGGUAAUGGCUUUUCAGGCUGCUGUUGGGAAUAAGGUGACCAGCUAACCUUCAUCCUGGGGAAACCACUGGCGGUGGCAGGGACUGGCUGCAGGAGAAGCACGUUUGUGGGUGAGGGUCGGGCUGGGCAGCUCUUUGCAGAGGAGAGUUCCUAUGGAAUAUAUGCAUCACAGCUACUUAAAAGUUGGACAGUAAGAGCAGAAAUGUCAACUAAAGGACAUUAUUCAGCACGAAACAUCUGCACCAAGUUGUGGAAUCAUGCAGAUGGUGUUCAAACAAAUCAAGAAGCUGAAGCUAAAAAACCACCCUGAUGGAGAAACUCAU
rnacentral:lncRNA from 13 species